rnacentral:rRNA from 1 species
CGAACGGGUGAGUAUCGCGUGGGUAAUCUACCUUGAGGUGGGGGAUAGCCUCGGGAAACCGAGGAUAAUACCGCAUACGUCCUUAACGUCAUAAGGCGACGAGGGGAAAGGCGGGGCUCCUUCGGGACCUGUCGCCUCUGGAUGAGCCCGCGUCCGAUUAGCUUGUUGGUGAGGUAAUGGCUCACCAAGGCUUCGAUCGGUAGCCGACCUGAGAGGGUGAACGGCCACAUUGGGACUGAGACACGGCCCAG